UGGCACGCUUGAUUACGUUUCAGCCGGUCAGCCAGCCGCUACAGUCUGGCAAAGUUCGACCUUUCAGGCUGCCACAGAUACAGAGACGCAGAGAGAGAGAGAGAGAGAGAGGAAGAGAUGGAAGAUGAAGAGAAGCACUGACAGCACAUUGCCCACAUUUAUUGUGGCGAUACGUCCGGAGAAUCCAAACUUGUAGGACGGCGUCGCCGUAGCAGCACGACUGGAGGAGAGAGUGAUUGAAAACAAGAGAAUAACGAACAGCAGCAGAGUGAACGAAGCCGAACACGGGCUGAACUGUGAGCUACUCGACUGACGCUUUUAACCUCCCUGUGGGCCGCCGAGGUCCAGCCGGCACAGAAAACUCUGAAAUGCACUUAAGUGAAAAGUCCUGAAAUGAGACAGCAUUCUACAUAUGAGAAGUGUACGCUCCCUAAAAAUACAAUUCAUGCCAUCUGAAAAAUUGAAAGAGAGGCUACAUUUGUAACUUUCAAUUCAGAGCCACACCGAGUACUUUUUGCUUUUUUUCUGUGUUUUGGUGAUUUGUUUUUUUGGAGAUUUUCAGAGUGCGAGUGUGUCACCAUCCCAACCCAGCAUGACACGGUGCACGGAAACCGAGGCUGCAUUGUAAUA